rnacentral:rRNA from 1 species
CCAAGGAGUCUAACAUGUUCGCAAGUCAUUGGGUUGUAAAACCCAAAGGCAUAAUGAAAGUGAAGAUCAGUUCUGCUGGUCGAGGUGGGAUCUCUCUUCAAGGGAGCGCACCACCGUCCCAUCGCAUUUGCUCGUCAAAGCGGUGGAGAAAGAGCGUACAUGUUGGGACCCGAAAGAUGGUGAACUAUGCCUGAGCAGGAUGAAGCCAGAGGAAACUCUGGUGGAGGUCCGUAGCGGUUCUGACGUGCAAAUCGAUCGUCAGACUUGGGUAUAGGGGCGAAAGACUAAUCGAACCAUCUAGUAGCUGGUUCCCUCCGAAGUUUCCCUCAGGAUAGCUGGAACUUUUACGCAGUUUUACCCGGUAAAGCGAAUGAUUAGAGGCCUUGGGGACGAAACGACCUCAACCUAUUCUCAAACUUUAAAUGGGUAAGAAGUCUCGCUUGCCUGACCGAAGCUCAGACAUUGAAUGCGAGUGCCAAGUGGGCCAUUUUU